GAAUAGGAACCACGUUCCUCCCUGAGAAACGCCACGUCAUGUUGCCUUCUCACGUGUGCUUACGGGUGGCAGCUUGGUGUUGGAACACAGAAACCUCUCUCCCUCAUGUGCCAAGAUUUGAGGUGAUGGUCCCCAGGCCAGCGUGUCUCCCCUGCAAAGUAUCACCACCCAGGACAACUCCACAAAGGUUCAAGAGCAGCUUGCCGUCCUCAUCUGCUGGUGGAGGCCGCUUCUGGGCAUGAAGAAGACGGUUCAGUUUCCCUGAUGUGCCCUCGGGGUGAGGUCACCUGGGACCCCAGCGGUUACUCACACGAACACCAUUUCCUUCGGUCGCUACCACACCCGUCUCCACCUCAGCGCACUGAGAAGCGUUGCAACAGGAGUAGAAGAACAUGGGAAGUUCUGUUACUGUUUAGCUAUUGUAUCAGGAUAUUGAAAACUGAAAUUAA